AUUGAACGCUGGCGGCAGGCCUAACACAUGCAAGUCGAACGAGUGGCGGACGGGUGAGUAAUGUCUGGGAAACUGCCUGAUGGAGGGGGAUAACUACUGGAAACGGUAGCUAAUACCGCAUACCAUCAGAUGUGCCCAUAUGGGAUUAGCUAGUUGGUGGGGUAAAGGCUCACCAAGGCGACGCUCCCUAGCUGGUCUGAGAGGAUGACCAGCAAAACUGGAACUGAGACACGGUCCAGACUCCUACGGGAGGCAGCAGUGGGGAAUAUUGCAUAAUGGGCGCAAGCCUGAUGCAGCCAUGCCGCGUGUAUGAAGAAGGCCUUCGGGUUGUAAAGUACUUUCAGCGGGGAGGCGUUACCCGCAGAAGAAGCACCGGCUAACUCCGUGCCAGCAGCCGCGGUAAUUC
rnacentral:rRNA from 1 species